GGAGAGGUGCCGGAGUGGUCGAACGGGCACGACUGGAAAUCGUGUGUACCCCAAAAGGGUACCGUGGGUUCGAAUCCCACUCUCUCCG
rnacentral:tRNA from 1 species